CCUCCCUACGGGACGCAGCAGUGGGGGAUAUUGCACAAUGGGGGGUACCCUGAUGCAGCGACGCCGCGUGGGUGAAGAAGCGCCUCGGCGCGUAAAGCCCUGUCAGCAGGGAAGAAAAUGACGGUACCUGAAGAAGAAGCCCCAGCUAACUACGGGCCAGCAGCCGCGGAAAUACGUAGGGGGCAAGCGUUAUCCGGAUUUACUGGGUGUAAAGGGGGCGCAGACGGCGUUGCAAGCCAGGAGUGAAAGCCC
rnacentral:rRNA from 1 species